GCUCGGCCGGCCGCCUCCGCUGCUCCGCGCUGUGCCGUCCGUGCCCCUGGGCCUCGGUGACAUCUCGUUCCCUGUCCCUAGCAGCGUCCUCUGCAAAGCUGUUCUCUGCGCCGGGCACUGCCCCGUGUCCGGUCGUUAGCUGCCGUGUGGGAAUUUGAAAAUGUGUUCCCAGGCGUCCUUCCCCGGGACUGCUCCUUGCUGUUCCUAAUUCUUUUCGAUCAUUUGAGCUUCAGCUGUGUUCAGACCUGGUUUUCGCUUCCCGUUAAAGGAGAAAAGUCUUGUGCCCCGUGCAGGUUUAACAGUUUAGGACAUCAUAUUCGACCUUUGCGUUUGUUAAUGCUUGGUGUAAGCUUGGGGUCUGAUUUGUGGAUUUCCAUUCCCGCCUGGUUUCAAGGUGUGGUACCUGGCAGGUUUGGCUAUUAUUUUGUGUGUGCUUUUAUUCAGCACUAAAAGGGCUCAGAAAAUACUCACAAAUUAUUUUUAUUCAAUAGAUAAGUACCAGCUAUUAGAACAAAUGCACGGCACUUCCUAUAAAAUAGUGAUUUGUGGAAUAUGUAUAAAUUCUACUUGUAACCUCUUAUGCUAUCUCAAGACUCUUAAGCCCGUACUCCUAUUUAAAGAGAUGUACUAACAUGUGCAAAUGAUUAAAAAACUUUGUCACUGUGUGUUUUAUUUCUGUUAUUCUGAUUUACAGGAUAAGUAUGUACAAGGUAAGCUUUGGGCUUUUUUUUUUUUUUUUAAGAAACUAUUGCAAUAGUUUAUACAAAUCAGAGAUAAAAAUAAAUUAUUGAGGGAUUUGCUCAGCCAGUGGAAGAAACUCAAAACUGCCACGGGGUUGAGGGUUAAUUAUAAAGAGGGCAAAGUGGUGGUUGAAACUGUAGUUUCUGCAGGUGAGAAUAAAAUGGGGAUGUAAGCUGCCUGUGGUGACAUCUGUGGUUACAAAGCUGUUAAAGCAAUAGGGCUGGCACUAACUGGAGCUUUCCCUUUCUCUCACAGAGAUACUGCUCCAGAUUAGAAGCCCGUUUUCCUACACUGCAGUUCACUGUAGAAACAGAGCUUUGUGGAAGAGCCAGAGGCAGCGCCUGUACUGGAGCUUCCCACAAGUUUCCAGGGAGAGCCUGCCCGUCUCAGACAACUGCCAGAAGGUGGCUUGGAGGCACAGAAGGAUGAGGUGACAUCAUCUGCGAGGACAAGCUGUGGUGGGACCAACAUGAGCCUUGCCUGGAGGAGGGGAGUGUCCUCGUGGGACAAGGGAAGAGCAGCCCCAUGCUGUUAUCAAGCCUACUGCUUGGACUGGAGAAGAUUUCCAUCAUAGCUUUGACUGUUUCAGAGUUGUUUUGAUCCCUUCUCAAUCACAAGCUGAUAAGUACCAUAGCCUAGUUAGUUGUGCUACUUAUUUUUCUCUCUCCAAAUACAUGAUUUUUUCAUGUCAGGCUGGAAGCUCCUUUAACUGAAGGGUGGAAAACCUCUGGGUAGGUGCAUCCCCAGCUUUCUGGGGCUGUGUUAAUGACCCCUCUGACAAUGGGAAUUCUUAAACUAUGCUAAGGCACAUGGAAAAUAAGGAGGAGAUUGGUGAUGGCCAAACCUGGCUUCAGCAGAGCAAAUCAUGCCUGAAAAAUUUGCUUUAGAAACACAGAAGAACGUGUUCAGAGAAAAAGGCAUGAUGUUCCCUCCAAAAUAAGAGGGAACUGAGAGUUAGAGCUAGAACUGAGGUAGGACCCAUAAUUUAUUUGGAAGUAAAGAGUAAAGUUGAGGGAGAACUGUUCAGAAGGUGGAGAAAAGUAUUAAUACUGGUACAGGACACAAGGAUAAUUUCAGACUUGAAGCCACAUGGAAAAGUCAGAAAAAGAAGGCAGAAGAGGAGUGAUACCUUGUGUAAGAAGGAGGAGGAUGACUGUGGAGCCCAAGAAGGUGAUUUGACAGGUGAUUUCUCUGGCACCCUAGAAGAUCAGGAGGGACAUUCCCAAUGUGCUCUGCACACCCACACUUGGCUGUUCCAGCUCAAUCCAGAUGGAGUUCCUGCUACACUUGGUGGAAUUGUUCUGUUGGAUGGUGUAUCCACAAAGAUGGGGUUUGUAACAAGGCCAGAACUCUGUGGUACAUCCAUCAGCUGAGGUUUCUCAGUGAGCUGUGCACACAUGACCACACACUGCUUUUUUUCCCUCCCACGCACACAAACUCUGUGGUAAGUUGUUCAGUGAGUUGUGACACCUAUUAAUGUCGUUGGCCUCUGAUGUUAUUCGGUUCCUUUUUCUGGGGGCUGACCACAGCAAUCCCAUCUGAAAAGUUUUCCACCAAAGUCAGAGAUCAUUUUCAUUAAAGCUCUCUCCAGUUUAGUCCCUCAAGCAUGGGUGUCUUUCUACUCAUGAAUGCAAGCAGCAGAGGAAAGCAAUAAAUCCCUUUGAAUAAUGUGCCAGUGCUCCACUGUUACAUAACUGUCAUCCCUAACUAGAAGAUGCCUAUUUAGCAACUAAAGAAUAUUGGCAAGGAUUUAAAGCAUUUAAAAAUAAUUUUGCUGCACUCAGAAUUUGGAUCAUUGACCCUUAACCUGAAAACUGGUUUUACAAAUGUUCUCCAGAGAACAUUGUGUACUUAACUUCCCCUAUGAAAACUACAAAAAAAUUGUAUACCAAAAUACAAGGAUUAAGAGCCGGAGCCACGACAUAUUUAGACUUGGAGAGGGAUAUGAAAACACCUCAGUGAAUGUACUUGACAGGAUAAUUUCAUUUUACCAUAUACACUGUGUGACUACAAGUAAAAGCAUAACAUAAGGAAUGGUUCAAUGCUUUUUUAAUACUAGAAUAUUUCCAUGGGCUUGCAAUGCUUAAAGAACUGAAGUUUUUUUACUGAGGAACAUAGGGUAGCUACAAGGAGUUCAUGCAAUCAGCUUGUACCAGAAAGGAAAAAGCAGAUUUUGUUGGGAAGGGCUUUGAUCUUUCAUGGAGCUGCAGGAAUAUGGGCAGCUGGGAGAAAACCUUAUAACCCCUUUCUUAGCCUGUGGAAAUCUCACUCCUGUGUAGGACUCCUACUGGUAGUGCUGCUUGGUUUGUCUGAACUUCUUGAUAUGGAAUAAUUCAAGUGAGUACUCAAUAUGCAGUUUUAUCAUCCUCUGCCUUUGGAUGUCUGAUUAAGCAUGACUGGCUGUGAUUGGGAUUUUAAACACUAGCAGGCUUCCCAAUUACCUCAAUUAUCUUUGCCCCAGGAAUGAUUGCUAUUUCCAGGCACGCAUCCUGUUGCCCACAGUUUCUCACACAGGUUUUUCUGGCACCUUUCUUACAGUAAUAGCCCUCAGCACAGCAAACUACAGACUGAAAACUCUCCCACUGUACCUCCUGAGUACACUGUAGCACUGACACACUUUUUGCAUGCAUUUUCUAACUCUUCUGCUUCCACUCUAUUUUAGGAAUAUUCAGAAAUUUCAUUUUUUUAAAGAUUUAUUUAAAACUAUAGCAGUCGUGCAUAUUGCUUAGAACACAUUCUAUCCAAAAAGCAUUUAUUAUAGUUUCUUCUCUGAGUAAAUAAACCAUCUGCAAAAGGGAGUGUAUGAAAAUUAAAAAAAAAAAAAAAAAAGAAAAAACCGAUAAAAAAUUGUUUACAGUAAAACAAUUAGUGACAUGUAAAAUUAUUUCUGUUCAGGUCCCUGUUCUAGUAGCUCUUUGGGACAUAAUUUAUCUGCAAAACUAUGGGUAAAUAUGAAAAAUAUUUUAUUAAUUUCAAAUGUAUGCCCUGUUAUGUCAUUUUGUAGAGCAUAUUGCCUAAACCAUAUGAGACAUACCUUAGCUUCUGUGCCAAGAUGUCUAGCAAUAUUUUGGCUUGUAAUGCCUAAAUUCCCAUUUCCUGAAGCAAGACCUGUGUCCUAAGAAAUUAACCCAAGAGAACAUUUUACUUGCACUUGAAACCACCAGGAGUUGGUUUUGUGGUUUUUACUUUAGAACAGAACUUGCUUCUUAGAUUUAGUCUUUAAAUAUGGAACUCAUAUGUAAAGCCAGCUGAAGUUAUUGUUUAGAUUUUGAGAGCCAUAUGCAGACUUCAGACAUGCUGCAAACACAUGCAAGCUGUUGCAUGACAGUGAAACAACAAAAACAAAACCACAGCCUAAUUUUUCUUUCAGUCAUUACUAACACUGAUAUCCCUUUUCUUCCUGAGAGAAAUCCAUGGGGAAGUAUUAAUAGGAACAUGCUGUUGGUUAAACAUCUUCAGAUGCAAGCAAUAGCCUUUUAACCAUGGAUAAGCACUAAAAAAAAAAAGAGUAUUAAUAAUAGAAUUCAAAAUGACCAAGAAAAGGCAUUACAAGCCUAAGAUAGGAAAUGAUAGUGAAUUUUCAGAGGGUGUCAUUUUUGAAGUAAUAAAAUCUUCUGUUUUCUUGCAGAGUAAAACAGAACCUGUCUCCCUCUGCUGGUCUUCAGAGAGAAAAAAAAAGUUUUUAGAUACUAAAUAACCUCUGGCUGCAAUUUUGAUACAAAUUACCAGCUGUUCCAAAUUAGCUCUUAAAACUUGUUGCCUUCAAAUAUAUAGAGGUCUCCUUGAGGCUAUCAGUGUCUUGAUUAGCUGAGGAUUGGUAGAUUUUUUUUUAGUGUUUAGUCUGGUUAGGCUUAGUUUCUCAGCAUAUUUAAUAUGAUUUAUUUAAGAAAAUAUAACAAGAUAAAUAUAAUAAGAUAAAAGCUGUUCUGUCUUUAAUUCAAACAUCACUGAAUCUAGCAGCUGUGCUAAGAGCAGCCUCAUACUGAAGUUGUAGAUGUAGUUGCAUGAUUUUCUUUUCCUGCAUAGUCUGAGUUGGUCUACUUUUAAAUCCAAACUUUGUGUUGCAGUCCACACCCCAGUGAACAAAAUCCCGGGAAUUUCCACGCUGCACAAAGUGGGUGUGGGUUUUUUACCAUGUUCUGGUACAUGGCAUGGAUUCUGUGAAAAGGUCUUUGUCCUUAGCAGGAUAUGCUCUGUCUUCCUAUUGUCACAGGAAGCACAUUUGUCCUUUAAAUAAUCCCUGUGCUCCUACUAACAAUUUGUCAUUUACAGAAAGGACACUCUAACAAUAGACAUCAAGUCGAUUCCUUCCAGUUAGUUUAAGGCAAGCAGCAAUUCCAGGAGCUCAAGGCACUCACCUGUUAAGUUUGGGGGGGCACAUAAAUGCAUUUUAUGUUGAGAAGAAAAUUAAAGACAUUUUGUCUUUAAAGUGAUUUGUUUUAGUUUGUUGUUUUGUUUUGUUUUUAUGAGGGUAUUUUGUUUUUGGGUUUUGUGUGUUUUGGUUUUGUUUUGUUUUUUACUUCCCAUGUGUUAUAGUCAUCACAACACAUUUGUUAAGCUUUGUUAUGUGUAGGCGUCCUUUUGAUCUCAGUAUAUUUCAGGCUUCCUUGUAUCCAAGAUUUUGUUUAAAAAAGCAUCUACCAGUGACAGUUUGUCAUAUUUCCAGUUAAUACCAGUGUCAAUAUUGUUAGUUACACAAGCUGAUUUGGUCUUUGCAUAUGUUGUGUGUCAGUUCUUUUGGGAUGUUUGACUAUCAGCAUAGAAAGCACGGCACUUACUCUCACCAAAUAUUUAACCAAAUUCUCUCAUUUAUUCUGUCUGUGGUAUGCAAUUUAAAUUGUCAUUAAAAUGUUAUGUAAUAAAUUGUAGUGGUUUUUUACAAGACAUAGUUUUACCAAGUGAGAAUAUCAUAGUUUUUAUCCUGGUUUUAUCUCCUGAAAACCGUCAGGGCAACUGUGUCAUUUGGUCUGUGUAUCACAGAGAAGACACACAGGAACAAGACAGUGAGGCUGCCGAGACACUCACCUUGUGCAGAGCUUUUACAUGGGCACAUUAGGAACUUCCUGUAUGAGGAAUACUUUAAAGCUGGCGUCAUUUCUGCAUGUGGGAAUGGCUAACUUGUAAUCAUCCAUUCCUAAGCAGGUCUGCAGGCUAUGCCAUUGUUCCCUUCUUGACUCAGCUCUCUAGGGAAUAGUGUCACUUUGCCUGGAAGCUGAGCUUCCAAGGCUAACCAGCUGUCUUUCUUGAAGGAGAACUCCUGUGGCUGCCCAGCUGUGGAGAGGCUAUGUGGCAUUUGGCCUACAAAUGCUGUUUCUAAAACUGGCUGGUACCACUUCCAGAGUGCACCUGAUAAUUGGUAUUGGGUAAUGUGGAUGUAGCUGAGAAACAAUGAAAGCAGAGGCCAAAGUGCUCGUGUUGGAGUUGCUCUGCAGUGCAACGUGCUGGCCUGUAUCACAAAUAGUGUGGCCAGCAGGAUUAGGACAGUGAUUGUCCCCCUGGAGCCCGCACGGGUGAGAUGGCACCUUGAAUCCUGUGUCCAGUUCUGAGCCCCUCAAUUCAGGAAAGACAUUGAGGUGCUGCAGCUAGUCCAGAGAAGGGUGAGGAAGUUGGUGAGGGGUCUGGGGAACAGCUGAGGGAGUGGGGUUGUUUAAUCUGGAGAAAAGGAGUCUCAGGGGAGACCUUAUUGCUCCCUACAAUGCUGAAAGGAGGUUGUAGCCAGGUGAGGGUGGGUCUCUUCUCUCAGCGACAGGACAAGAGGAAAUGGCCUGGAGUUGUGCCAGGGGAAGUUCAGGCUGGACAUCAGGAAUAAUUUCUUCACUGAAGAAAGUGUUGUCAGGCACUGGAAGUGAGUGCCCAGAGAGGUGGUGGAAUCACCAUCCCUGGAGGUGUUAAAGUGCCAUGCCUGGCCAUGGCACUGAGUGCCACAGUCUAGUUGACAGCAUGGUGUUCGGUCAAAGGUUGGGCUCAGUGAUCUGGGAAGUAUUUUCCAACUGUAAUCAUUCUGUGACUCUGGGAAAGCAAA